AGCUUUGUACAGUGGCAGUAUCAUAGCCAAUGAGGUUUAUCCAAGUCACGAUUAUUGCUAAUCAAUGGGGUAGGGCUGAAGCAGGUGGCCUAGAAAGGCUGAUGUUGGUGAUGUGCUAAAUUCCAUAUUCUUGUGGAAGUAGACUUCAAAUGCAAAUUAUCUUG
rnacentral:snRNA from 1 species